AAUAAGAGGAGCUCUGCUCCAGGAAACGCAAUUCCCAUGUUUGCCCUUUCCUUCACCAACUCGCCUGUGGUCCCGUCUGCAGCAUCUGCUGUGCCAAACCUCCCACCAGGUGAAAGAGAAG